AUCCCAUGGUGAGGACAUGCAAGGAUGUACUCUUGAACUCUCUCCCAAGCCUCAAGAAUUGACUCAUUUGAUUCCUGCUGGAAGCUCGAAAUUCUUCCACGAAGAGC